rnacentral:rRNA from 1 species
UGUCGAUGAAGAGCGCAGCCAACUGUGUGAAUUAAUGUGAACUGCAUACUGCUUUGAACAUCGACAACUUGAACGCACAUUGCGGCCACGGGUUAGCCUGUGGCCACGUCCGUCCGAGGGUCG